rnacentral:rRNA from 1 species
GACGAACGCUGGCGGCGUGCUUAACACAUGCAAGUCGAACGGAAAGGCCCUGCUUUUGUGGGGUGCUCGAGUGGCGAACGGGUGAGUAACACGUGAGUAACCUGCCCUUGUCUGUGGGAUAACUUCAGGAAACUCGGGCUAAUACCGGAUAGGAGCUCCUGCUGCAUGGUGGGGGUUGGAAAGAUUCGGCUGUUGGGGCUGGACUCGAGGCUUAUGAGCUUGUUGGUGGGGUAGUGGAAUACCAAGGCUUUGACGGGUAGCCGGCCUGAGAGGGUUGACGGGCACAUUGCGACUGCGAUACGGACCAGACUCCUACGGGACGUAGCAGGCGGGAGUCUUGCACAAUGGGCGGGAGCCUGAUGCGGCAACCCCGCGUGCGGGAAGACGGCCUUCGGGUUGUAAACCGCUUUCGCCUGUGACGAAGCGUGAGUGACGGUAAUUGGUAAAGAAGCACCGGCUAACUACGUG